AUGACAUCACAAACACUCUAGGAGAGCCAUCACAAUGACGUAAGAACUUUGUGAAGCCUCGAGACCUUCUAAUACAAGAUGUGAACACCCUCAAAGGUUUAAUUUUGCCAACUCAACAGGCAAGAGAGAGGGCUACGGCUGCCCUUGACUCUCUCUAUCCAGUAUUUUCAUCACUUUUCACCCUGCCCUUUUCUGUGCCUGCCUUGAGGGGAAAGCAGCUUUAUAAAUAUUCCAGCAAACUGCUAAUGAAUAACGUCCACAAUUAAGCUG